rnacentral:rRNA from 1 species
AACGAACGCUGGCGGCAGGCCUAACACAUGCAAGUCGAACGUGAAGCCACCUUCGGGUGGUGGAAAGUGGCAGACGGGUGAGUAACGCGUGGGAACGUGCCUUUCGGUUCGGGAUAACCCAGGGAAACUUGGGCUAAUACCGGAUACGCCCUCCGGGAGAAAGAUUCAUUGCCGAAAGAUCGGCCCGCGUCGGAUUAGCUAGUUGGUGGGGUAAAAGCCUACCAAGGCGACGAUCCGUAGCUGGUCUGAGAGGAUGACCAGCCACACUGGGACUGAGACACGGCCCAGACUCCUACGGGAGGCAGCAGUGGGGAAUAUUGGACAAUGGGCGCAAGCCUGAUCCAGCCAUGCCGCGUGGGUGAAGAAGGCCCUAGGGUUGUAAACCCCUUUCAGCGGGGAAGAUAAUGACGGUACCCGCAGAAGAAGCCCCGGCUAACUCCGUGCCAGCAGCCGCCGUAACAC